CAGGCUGCUGCAACUGUUUAUUAAAAACACAGCACUCUGCAAACACGAAAGUGGACGUAUAGGGUGUGAUGCCUGCCCGGUGCUGGAAGGUUAAUUGAUGGGGUUAGCGUAAGCGAAGCUCUUGAUCGAAGCCCCAGUAAACGGCGGCCGUAACUAUAACGGUCCUAAGGUAGCGAAAUUCCUUGUCGGGUAAGUUCCGACCUGCACGAAUGGCAUAAUGAUGGCAGCGCUGUCUCCAGCAGAGACUCAGUGAAAUCGAAAUCGCAGUGAAGAUGCUGUGUACCCGCGGCUAGACGGAUAGACCCCGUGAACCUUUACUACAGCUUUACAUUGAACUUUGACCUAACUUGUGUAGGAUAGGUGGGAGGCUUUGAAGCAGAUACGCCAGUAUUUGUGGAGCCAACCUUGAAAUACCACCCUGGUUAUGUUGGGGUUCUAACUUAGGAUUAACAAAUCCAAGGACAAUGUAUGGUGGGUAGUUUGACUGGGGCGGUCUCCUCCUAAAGAGUAACGGAGGAGUACGAAGGUGCGCUCAGAACGGUCGGAAAUCGUUCAAAGAGUAUAAAGGCAAAAGCGCGCUUAACUGCGAGACCCACAAGUCGAGCAGGUACGAAAGUAGGUCUUAGUGAUCCGGUGGUUCUGUAUGGAAGGGCCAUCGCUCAACGGAUAAAAGGUACUCUGGGGAUAACAGGCUGAUACCGCCCAAGAGUUCAUAUCGACGGCGGUGUUUGGCACCUCGAUGUCGGCUCAUCUCAUCCUGGGGCUGAAGCAGGUCCCAAGGGUAUGGCUGUUCGCCAUUUAAAGAGGUACGCGAGCUGGGUUUAGAACGUCGUGAGACAGUUCGGUCCCUAUCUACCGUGGGCGUUGGAAAUUUGAGAGGAUCUGCUCCUAGUACGAGAGGACCAGAGUGGACGAACCUCUGGUGUUUCGGUUG
rnacentral:rRNA from 1 species